rnacentral:rRNA from 1 species
AUACGUAGGUGGCAAGCGUUGUCCGGAAUUACUGGGCGUAAAGCGUGCGCAGGCGGUUUUGUAAGACAGUGGUGAAAUCCCCGGGCUCAACCUGGGAACUGCCAUUGUGACUGCAAGGCUGGAGUGCGGCAGAGGGGGGUGGAAUUCCGCGUGUAGCAGUGAAAUGCGUAGAUAUGCGGAGGAACACCGAUGGCGAAGGCAAUCCCCUGGGCCUGCACUGACGCUCAUGCACGAAAGCGUGGGGAGCAAACAGGAUUAGAUACCCUGGUAGUCCACGCCCUAAACGAUGUCAACUGGUUGUUGGGGAUUUAUUUUCUCAGUAACGAAGCUAACGCGUGAAGUUGACCGCCUGGGGAGUACGGCCGCAAGGUUAAAACUCAAAGGAAUUGACGGGG